rnacentral:rRNA from 1 species
UACAGGGGGUGCAAACGUUGCUCGGAAUCAUUGGGCGUAAAGCGCACGUAGGCGGUUACUUAAGUCGGAUGUGAAAGCCCUUGGCUCAACCGAGGAAGUGCAUCCGAAACUGAGUAGCUAGAGUACUAAAGAGGGUCGCGGAAUUCCCGGUGUAGAGGUGAAAUUCGUAGAUAUCGGGAGGAACACCAGUGGCGAAGGCGGCGAUCUGGGAAGAUACUGACGCUGAGGUGCGAAAGCGUGGGGAGCAAACAGG